UGGGGAAUUUUGGGCAAUGGGCGAAAGCCUGACCCAGCAACGCCGCGUGCAGGAUGAAGGCCCUCGGGUCGUAAACUGCUGUCGGGAGGGAAGAACGGCGGUGGUGGAAACACCGCCAUCGCGUGACGGUACCUCCAAAGGAAGCGCCGGCUAACUCCGUGCCAGCAGCCGCGGUAAUACGGAGGGCGCAAGCGUUGUUCGGAAUUACUGGGCGUAAAGGGCGUGUAGGCGGUCUGGUAAGUCGGUUGUGAAAUCCCCGGGCUCAACCCGGGAACUGCAUCCGAAACUGCUGGGCUAGAGUUCCGGAGAGGAAGGCAGAAUUCCCAAUGUAGGGGUGAAAUCCGUAGAUAUUGGGAGGAAUACCAGUGGCGAAGGCGGCCUUCUGGACGGUGACUGACGCUGAGACGCGAAAGCGUGGGGAGCAAACAGGAUUAGAUACCCUGGUAGUCCACGCCGUAAACGGUGCGCACUAGGUGUCGGGGUAUUCACCCUCCGGUGCCGAAGCUAACGUAUUAAGUGCGCCGCCUGGGAAGUA
rnacentral:rRNA from 1 species